rnacentral:rRNA from 1 species
AGAAUCAACGCUGGCGGCGUGCCUAACACAUGCAAGUCGAACGAGAAAGGGACUUCGGUCCUGAGUAUAGUGGCGCACGGGUGAGUAACACGUGAAUAAUCUACCUCCGAGUGGGGAAUAACCUGGAGAAAUCUAGGCUAAUACCGCAUAACACUUACGAGUCAAAGCAGCAAUGCGCUUGGAGAGGAGUUCGCGGCAGAUUAGUUAGUUGGCGGGGUAAUGGCCCACCAAGACGAUGAUCUGUAUCCGGCCUGAGAGGGCGCACGGACACACUGGAACUGAAACACGGUCCAGACUCCUACGGGAGGCAGCAGUGGGGAAUUUUGCGCAAUGGGGGAAACCCUGACGCAGCAACGCCGCGUGGAGGAUGAAGUAUCUUGGUACGUAAACUCCUUUCGAUGGGGAAGAUAAUGACGGUACCCAUAGAAGAAGCCCCGGCUAACUUCGUGCCAGCAGCCGC